rnacentral:rRNA from 1 species
GAUGAACGCUGGCGGCGUGCCUAAUACAUGCAAGUCGAGCGAACAGACGAGGAGCUUGCUCCUCUGACGUUAGCGGCGGACGGGUGAGUAACACGUGGAUAACCUACCUAUAAGACUGGGAUAACUUCGGGAAACCGGAGCUAAUACCGGAUAAUAUAUUGAACCGCAUGGUUCAAUAGUGAAAGACGGUUUUGCUGUCACUUAUAGAUGGAUCCGCGCCGCAUUAGCUAGUUGGUAAGGUAACGGCUUACCAAGGCGACGAUGCGUAGCCGACCUGAGAGGGUGAUCGGCCACACUGGAACUGGGACACGGUCCAGACGCCUACGGGACGCAGCAGUAGGGAAUCGUCCGCAAUAGGCGAAAGCCUGACGGAGCAACGCCGCGUGAGUGAUGAAGGUCUUCGGAUCGUAAAACUCUGUUAUUAGGGAAGAACAAAUGUGUAAGUAACUAUGCACGUCUUGACGGUACCUAAUCAGAAAGCCACGGCUAACUACGUG